rnacentral:rRNA from 3 species
UACGUAGGGGGCAAGCGUUGUCCGGAAUCAUUGGGCGUAAAGAGCGUGUAGGUGGCCCGGUCAGUCCGCCGUGAAAGUCCAGGGCUCAACCCUGGAAUGCCGGUGGAUACUGCCGGGCUGGAGUCCGGAAGAGGCGAGUGGAAUUCCUGGUGUAGCGGUGAAAUGCGCAGAUAUCAGGAGGAACACCAAUGGCGAAGGCAGCUCGCUGGGACGGUACUGACACUGAGACGCGAAAGCGUGGGGAGCAAACAGG